UGUGGUAACAGUAAUUGAAAUCAGUACGAGAGAAACCCUUCAUUCAGAUAAUUGGUAUUUGCAGCUGGUUGAAAGGCUAAUGCCGUGAAGUAACCAUCUUCUGGAUAAUAGCUGAACGUCUCUCAGGUAGAAUCCAUGCUGAAAACGAUA
rnacentral:ncRNA from 1 species